UUCGGGGUNCUCGAGUGGCGAACGGGUGAGUAACACGUGGGUGAUCUGCCCUGCACUUUGGGAUAAGCCUGGGAAACUGGGUCUAAUACCGAAUAGGACCACGCGCUUCAUGGUGUGUGGUGGAAAGCUUUUGCGGUGUGGGAUGGGCCCGCGGCCUAUCAGCUUGUUGGUGGGGUAAUGGCCUACCAAGGCGACGACGGGUAGCCGGCCUGAGAGGGUGACCGGCCACACUGGGACUGAGAUACGGCCCAGACUCCUACGGGAGGCAGCAGUGGGGAAUAUUGCACAAUGGGCGCAAGCCUGAUGCAGCGACGCCGCGUGAGGGAUGACGGCCUUCGGGUUGUAAACCUCUUUCAAUAGGGACGAAGCGCAAGUGACGGUACCUAUAGAAGAAGCACCGGCCAACUACGUGCCAGCAGCCGCGGUAAUACGUAGGGUGCGAGCGUUGUCCGGAAUUACUGGGCGUAAAGAGCUCGUAGGUGGUUUGUCGCGUUGUUCGUGAAAACUCACAGCUUAACUGUGGGCGUGCGGGCGAUACGGGCAGACUAGAGUACUGCAGGGGAGACUGGAAUUCCUGGUGUAGCGGUGGAAUGCGCAGAUAUCAGGAGGAACACCGGUGGCGAAGGCGGGUCUCUGGGCAGUAACUGACGCUGAGGAGCGAAAGCGUGGGGAGCGAACAGGAUUAGAUACCCUGGUAGUCCACGCCGUAAACGGUGGGUACUAGGUGUGGGUUCCUUCCUUGGGAUCCGUGCCGUAGCUAACGCAUUAAGUACCCCGCCUGGGGAGUACGGCCGCAAGGCUAAAACUCAAAGGAAUUGACGGGGGCCCGCACAAGCGGCGGAGCAUGUGGAUUAAUUCGAUGCAACGCGAAGAACCUUACCUGGGUUUGACAUGCACAGGACGCCGGCAGAGAUGUCGGUUCCCUUGUGGCCUGUGUGCAGGUGGUGCAUGGCUGUCGUCAGCUCGUGUCGUGAGAUGUUGGGUUAAGUCCCGCAACGAGCGCAACCCUUGUCCUAUGUUGCCAGCGGGUUAUGCCGGGGACUCGUAGGAGACUGCCGGGGUCAACUCGGAGGAAGGUGGGGAUGACGUCAAGUCAUCAUGCCCCUUAUGUCCAGGGCUUCACACAUGCUACAAUGGCCGGUACAAAGGGUUGCGAUGCCGUGAGGUGGAGCGAAUCCUUUCAAAGCCGGUCUCAGUUCGGAUCGGGGUCUGCAACUCGACCCCGUGAAGUCGGAGUCGCUAGUAAUCGCAGAUCAGCAACGCUGCGGUGAAUACGUUCCCGGGCCUUGUACACACCGCCCGUCACGUCAUGAAAGUCGGUAACACCCGAAGCC
rnacentral:rRNA from 1 species